rnacentral:lncRNA from 10 species
GGAACUUAAAGCUAAGGCUGGGCAUAGUGGCUCACGCCUGUAAUUCUAACACUUUGGGAGGCCAAGGUGGGUGGAUCACCUGAAGGUCAGGAGUUCAGGACUAGCCUGGCCAACAUGGUGAAACCACGUCUCUACUAAAAAUAUAAAAAAUUAGCCGGGUGUGGUAGUGGUGAUUCUCCUGCCUCAGCCUCUGGAGUAGCUGGGAUUACAGGCACAUGCCACCACACCCAGCUAAUUUUUUUACUUUUUGCAGAGACAGGGUUUCGCCAUGUUGGCCAGGCUGGUCCCCAACUCCUGACCUCAUGUGAUCCACCCGCCUCGGCUUCCCAAAGUGCUGGGAUUACAGGCGUGAGCCAUCGCACCUGGCCUGAGUUUGCAUUUCUAGGUUCCCAGAUGAUGUGACAGCUACUGGUCUCCAGCCACACCUUGAGAACACUUGGCUUUGACUACCACUUCUUAAACUUAAAGGAAAACUAGACAAUCCACCAGCCCAGGAGGGGACAAGCAGGCUUAUUCCUCCUCCUCGUCAUCUCUGGCUCCAGCCCCACCCUGGCCCUUGCUGGCAUUCUUCCUCUUCACGUGGCUGGGGUUGGCCACCCCAAUAGGGAAGCAGAGGGAGAAGUCAAUGUGCUUCUGGGAAUCCAGGCGGACAGUGAAGAACAGGAUAUUUACCACCUGCUCACGGACACGGAUAUGACACUGUUGAAUCAGCACAUGAGCGUGGCGGAUGGACUUAGCCAAGC